rnacentral:rRNA from 1 species
UACCAGCACCCCGAGUGGUCGGGACGAUUAUUGGGCCUAAAGCAUCCGUAGCCGGUUCUACAAGUCUUCCGUUAAAUCCACCUGCUCAACAGUUGGGCUGCGGAGGAUACUAUAAGACUAGGAGGCAGGAGAGGCAAGCGGUACUCAGUGGGUAGGGGUAAAAUCCGUUGAUCCAUUGAAGACCACCAGUGGCGAAGGCGGCUUGCCAGAAUGCGCUCGACGGUGAGGGAUGAAAGCUGGGGGAGCAAACCGG